rnacentral:rRNA from 1 species
UCGGGAAUUUUGGGCAAUGGGCGAAAGCCUGACCCAGCAACGCCGCGUGAAGGAUGAAGUAUUUCGGUAUGUAAACUUCGAAAGAAUAGGAAGAAUAAAUGACGGUACUAUUUAUAAGGUCCGGCUAACUACGUGCCAGCAGCCGCGGUAAUACGUAGGGACCAAGCGUUGUUCGGAUUUACUGGGCGUAAAGGGCGCGUAGGCGGCAAUUCAAGUCAUCUGUGAAAUCUCCGGGCUUAACUCGGAACGGUCAGAUGAUACUGCUUUGCUAGAGUGCAGAAGGGGCAAUCGGAAUUCUUGGUGUAGCGGUGAAAUGCGUAGAUAUCAAGAGGAACACCUGAGGUGAAGACGGGUUGCUGGGCUGACACUGACGCUGAGGCGCGAAAGCCAGGGGGAGCAAACGGGAUUAGAUACCCGCGUAGUCCCUGAGCGGGCUGGCAAGGCGCAU